UGACAGCCACAAGGUUCCGGAAUAGAUAC
rnacentral:piRNA from 1 species